rnacentral:rRNA from 1 species
CCUACGGGGGGCAGCAGUGGGGAAUAUUGGGCAAUGGGCGCAAGCCUGACCCAGCAAUGCCGCGUGAAGGAAGAAGGCUUUCGGGUUGUAAACUUCUUUGACAGGGGAAGAGCAGAAGACGGUACCCUGAAAACAAGCCACGGCUAACUACGUGCCAGCAGCCGCGGUAAUACGGAGGUGGCAGGCGUUGUCCGGAUUUACUGGGUGUAAAGGGCGUGUAGCCGGGAAGGCAAGUCAAGUGUGAAAUCCGGGGGUCCAACCCCCGCUUUGCAUUUGAAACUGUUUUUCUUGAGUACCGGAGAGGCAGGCGGAAUUCCUUGUGUAGCGGUGAAAUGCGUAGAUAUAAGGAAGAACACCAGUGGCGAAGGCAGUCUGCUGGACAGCAACUGACGGUGAGGCGCGAAAGCGUGGGGAGCAAACAGGAUUAGAUACCCUGGUAGUC